rnacentral:lncRNA from 1 species
CCCAAUGGAGGCUCAAAAGAUCGUCAACUUUCUAUAGUAUAUCGAAUCAAUUUAAGUCCUUAUAAGUUAUAAAGCUUGAAUAAUUUUCACCUCUUGAGCUAGCUUUUGGGGCUAAGUUAGGUCUAAAGCCUAAAAAUCUGCAUAUAGUAGAGUUUAUCAUUGAUCCAUUAUUGGGCUACCCAUAUUUAUUUCUCCUAUGUUCUACAUGUUCGGUCCUGACUCCUGAGCAUGGGGUACAUUCAUUCACGCUUUAAACAUCUAUCUAGUCUUAAGCAUGAGGGGUGUCAGAGUCCCAAUCAAUAUAGAUAUCGCCUAAGGCAAUCAUAAAAUUGAGACAAUCCUAACCUAACAAGUCGAUUUAAUAUGGUUCCAUUAGGCCCUAGCUCGCCUUUUUAAUAGUUUACAUUCAAGCAAAAGGAAAAUAUUAUGCACAAUAUAGGCUCAAAAGAUCAUCAACUUCCCAGAGUAAGUAUAUCAAAUUAAAGUUUCUAAGUACAGGCUUGAGGAAUUCUCACCUCUUGAGCUAGAUUUUAGGGCUUAGUUUAAGCCUAAAUCCUCAGAUAGUGAUAGAGCCAUAUCGUGGAUAUGUUAUUGGGUUACCCAUAUUUGUCCGUGUGCUAGAUGUCCGCUCAUGGAAGGUGUUUUAAAAUCUCUAUUACUCAGUCACUCACAUUUGUCCACCAUGGUAGUAAGAAUCGCGAGUCAACUCAUUGGAGCAUACAAUCUGUAUUGCGAUCCCGCGAUUUAUGAUCUCGUGACCCCUUCCCGGUCUCAGGUAGGAUCUCGAUUCUGACUAUCUUGGUCCAUGCUUCAGACGUCUAGUAUUAAGCAUGAAGGGGUGUGUUGAGAGUCUCAAUCAAUUAGAGAUAUUGCCUAAGAGGUAAUCAUAAAACUCAGACAAUCCUAACCUUACAAGUCAAUUUUAUUUGAAUCAGUUGGGCCCUAGCCCAAAUUUUAAGAGUUGUCGUUCAGGCUUAAAAGAAUAUUUCACUACACAAGCACAAAGUUAUAACUAUAAGACCCCUACAUGACACUGAAUGCAAAUAGAUAAAAAUCUGAAAAGA